rnacentral:lncRNA from 1 species
ACUGAUAGGAGAGAAAAUACAUGAGAGCAAGCUGAGUCCUGCAUUUGAACUCAUGUGGGAAGAACCAGGUUGCAACAGAGUGAAUGCAUCCCCUUCCUGUCACUACCACCCACAUCAUACGGAGUUGGAUUAGAAUUGGCACGUUACUUCCUUAAGCCCAAGGUUUCUUCUCCCUGUGGCAGCGAAGCUAUGCUGUUCUCCAGCUCUCAGGUCAGUCAGCUGGAGUUGGAGCACUUUCAGAAGACCAGUAUUGUCAGCAUAUCUGCUUCCAUAACAAACCACCUCCCUUGGAGCUAAGUAUCUUCUCAUUUAGGAACAAAAAUAAAAAGGAAACAGGCCUUAAAACUAUAAGAUGGCUAUUUCUAACUCUUGGCUUAUCAGAUGGUACUUCAGACAUCUGCAGACAGAUCCUGGCAAGUCUGUG